AUUGAACGCUGGCGGCAGGCCUAACACAUGCAAGUCGAACGAGUGGCGGACGGGUGAGUAAUGUCUGGGCAACUGCCUGAUGGAGGGGGAUAACUACUGGAAACGGUAGCUAAUACCGCAUACCAUCAGAUGUGCCCAGAUGGGAUUAGCGAGUUGGUGGGGUAACGGUUCACCAAGGCGACGAUCCCUAACUGGUCUGAUAGGAUGAACAGCCACACUGUAAGUGAGACACGGUUCAGACUCCUACGGGAGGCAGCAGUGGGGAAUUGUGCACAAGGGGAUCAAGGCUGAUUCAGACAUGCCGCGUGUAUGAAGAAGGCCUUCGGGUUGUAAAGUACUUUCAGCUGGGAGGCGUUACCCGCAGAAGAAGCACCGGCUAACUCCGUGCCAGCAGCCGCGGUAAGUC
rnacentral:rRNA from 1 species